rnacentral:rRNA from 1 species
UAGGGAAUCUUCUGCAAUGGACGAAAGUCUGACCGAGCAACGCCGCGCGAGUGAAGAAGGUUUUCGGAUCGUAAAACUCUGUUGUUAGAGAAGAACAAGGACGUUAGUAACUGAACGUCCCCUGACGGUAUCUAACCAGAAAGCCACGGCUAACUACGUGCCAGCAGCCGCGGUAAUACGUAGGUGGCAAGCGUUGUCCGGAUUUAUUGGGCGUAAAGCGAGCGCAGGCGGUUUCUUAAGUCUGAUGUGAAAGCCCCCGGCUCAACCGGGGAGGGUCAUUGGAAACUGGGAGACUUGAGUGCAGAAGAGGAGAGUGGAAUUCCAUGUGUAGCGGUGAAAUGCGUAGAUAUAUGGAGGAACACCAGUGGCGAAGGCGGCUCUCUGGUCUGUAACUGACGCUGAGGCUCGAAAGCGUGGGGAGCAAACAGG